rnacentral:rRNA from 1 species
AUAUAGCCAUGCCGCGUGAGUGAUGAAGGCCUUAGGGUUGUAAAGCUCUUUCUCCAGAGAUGAUAAUGACAGUAUCUGGUAAAGAAAGCCCGGCUAACUCCGUGCCAGCACCCGCGGUAAU